rnacentral:lncRNA from 1 species
AUUUUCUAUGCCUACCUUUAGGGCCUGUGGUUCUUGGAGAUGUCUUUGUGCUCCAGAGGCUGCUCUGUUUAUCCUGCCCCUGGCUGUGGGUACCAUUCAAGCUUCCCCUGCAGGACCUGGAGCAGGAGGAGCCCUCCAUGGUAAUGAGCAUCUGCUCAGGAACUGUCACCUUUGGGGCCCUGAAGAGGCCACAGCUGCUGCAAGGGUAAGAGGAGUGGGCCCUGUGUGGUGAGUGUUACUGGGAGGAGUGUAGCAGAGUGGGCAGGAUGAUGCUGCUGCCUGAGAUAAUUUCUAGUAAAGAAUCUGGCUCCAACCUCAUGUUUUUACCUCCUGAAGUUCUUAAGUUUACCUUCUGUUUUACCAUUUUUUGGUUGUAGGAAAUGUACACGUGCCUGGCUGUGGGUAGUGUUCCUUAGGUGUUAAGGCGCCUGUGCACCCUUCCCUUCCUUUCUUCAUGAAUGAACGAGGCUGUUUGAUCCUGUCUUACCUCUUAGAGGUAAUUUUAAGGGUUUCUUAUUUAUUUUUGCACUAUUUAUGCAAUUAUCAUAAAAAUAAAAAUUCUUAUCCCUGCCUUCUCUUACAUUUUGUCUUUUUUUUUUUUUUUUUUUUUUUUCUAAUUUCUGGAGACCAUGCCAUCUUGCUGGACAGAGUGAAUUCUCUCAUGAUGUAUUUUUUCU